GUAGUCCACGCCGUAAACGAUGAGUGCUAAGUGUUAGAGGGUUUCCGCCCUUUAGUGCUGCAGCAAACGCAUUAAGCACUCCGCCUGGGGAGUACGGUCGCAAGACUGAAACUCAAAGGAAUUGACGGGGGCCCGCACAAGCGGUGGAGCAUGUGGUUUAAUUCGAAGCAACGCGAAGAACCUUACCAGGUCUUGACAUCCCACUGCCCGGUAUAGAGAUAUACCUUUCCCUUCGGGGACAGUGGUGACAGGUGGUGCAUGGUUGUCGUCAGCUCGUGUCGUGAGAUGUUGGGUUAAGUCCCGCAACGAGCGCAACCCUUGAUCUUAGUUGCCAGCAUUUAGUUGGGCAC
rnacentral:rRNA from 1 species